CUCAGCCUCCCGAGUAGUUGGCACUGCAGGCGCCCACCACCAUGCCGGGCUAUUUUUUGAAAGGUUAAGGAAUUUUCUUUAUUUUUUACAAAUUAAGACUAUGCAGAUUUCAUAUAUUUCUGAAUCAAAAACACCUUUGUCUUCACAGUAUGAGUUAGAAUGCAGCCUGAGCUGAAAAUCAAGAAACUAGAAAAGAAAGUGGUAGAGAUAACUAUAUUAAAAAUCUGUUAGGUAUUUUCUUUAAAAGUAGGUGUUUUUUUUUUUUUCUUUCUUUUUUUUUUUUAAUAUCUUGUCAUUCUUGGCACUGUUUCUAAAGAAAAACUCCAUUAUCCCAAGCAAAAAGCACAGAAGGUGGAGUUUGGCUUCAAGAGAUGUUAACUCAAAAUCUUAGGCCUAGCAGAGAAUCACCAAAUUUAUGGAGAGUUAACAGGGGUUUAACAGGAAGGAAGUGCCUUUAG
rnacentral:lncRNA from 10 species